UUUUGUAACAUUAAUUAACCCUUUUCCUCCUAUCCAUUCUCUUCAAUUUCCAUAGCCAGACCACCACAACAGCACCAUCAACAUAUCACCAUUACCAUCAUCAUCUUCAAUUCUUCCAUCACCCAGACCCAGACAACAAUGGAUUUAGAAUCAGACUCGUUGAAUGCUGGUGUCGGAGAUCGUUAACAGCGAUGCCAAUCGUCGUCAUCUUCAUCAUCAAGUAAAUGAUUGUCUGCUUGCGGUUCCUGAUCGGAUUAAAAUUCGUCGUCCAGGUCCAUCAAUGGCUCAUUGUCUUCAUCGCGAAAACGCAAUCAUUGUAAUAUUUAUUAUCAAUUUUAUUUAAAAUAUUUAGGAUCUGGGGCUGUGAUUAUAAAGAGAUGGGACUCGAGUGGGUAGAUCUAAUGUCAUCCCUUAGAGAUCUAUGAAUUCCUUGUUUUCUCUUUUUUGAUUUGAAUCUUUCAACUCCCUAGUUCCUCUGUUCCUCUAUUAAAGCGAGAUGGAGACUAUCGAAUUUUGGGGAAGAUUAGCUUGGUGCAACUUGAUUAUGGUGUCUAAGGAAUGGAGGGAGUUAUAAUUAAUUAAUAUUAAUUGAUUGUGGAUUCUGGGAUUGAUCAAAUUAAUUGUGAAUUUUGGGAUUGAAGAAGCUCAGAGCGAAGAGAGAAAAUGAAGGGAAAAAGAUAGAGAAGUUUUUUUGCUGAAAUUAAAUACAGUGGGU
rnacentral:lncRNA from 1 species